rnacentral:lncRNA from 1 species
GGACAUCAGAGGAAUAUACAAAAAGGGGGCUAGAAGAGUCUACAGAGGAGGAGGUUCCAGUAUUUGUACUAGAAGCCAUAAUCAGUGAACCGGCUUAAAAAUUUCAACAAACAGAGUACAACCAAACCAGAUAUUCACACAUAAAACCAAAUACUCACAUACGGAGUCAGAUAAUCACACACAAAGCAUACAAUACUCAAGAUAAAGAUAGAGUUACCCUCCUUCUUCGCGACCGGAGAAGAUCGGCCUUAAACGAUAGAGAAAACCCUAUGUACAAAACUCUAGGUGUAACCAUCAAAAUCCUUACUGGAAGUGUGGUCAGUGAUGUCGGAAAGGCACCCAAAACAUCCACUGAGUGAGAAUCGAGCCACCGGAAAGCAGUAAAACUCUAGGUUAAACCACCAGAAACCCUAGAAGAUAUACUCAUAUAUCACGAAGAAAAUCUCAGAAAAGCAUCCGAUUUAGGUCGGAAUCAUCAUUGACCAUAAGGUCUCAGAAACACCCCCAAAAAUCUCGAAACAGACUUCAUCCAAGACAACGAGAUACAGAUAAACACAGUCGGAUCGUCGUCUAGG